UACGAAGGAUCCAAGCGUUAUCCGGAUUUAUUGGGCUUAAAGGGUGCGUAGGCGGGCUAUUAAGUCAGUGGUGAAAGCUCCAAGCUUAACUUGGGAACUGCCAUUGAUACUGAUGGUCUUGAGUACACUUGAGGUGGGCGGAAUGUGUCAUGUAGCGGUGAAAUGCUUAGAGAUGCGGAGGAACACCGAUGGCGAAGGCAGCCCCCUGGGUCGACACUGACGCUCAGGCACGAAAGCGUGGGGAGCAAACAGG
rnacentral:rRNA from 1 species